rnacentral:rRNA from 1 species
GCUACGACGAGGCUCUGGGUCACCUCCCACCCGUGUUUAUUUUACCUUGUUGCUUCGGCGGGCCCGCCUUAACUGGCCGCCGGGGGGCUCACGCCCCCGGGCCCGCGCCCGCCGAAGACACCCUCGAACUCUGUCUGAAGAUUGAAGUCUGAGUGAAAAUAUAAAUUAUUUAAAACUUUCAACAACGGAUCUCUUGGUUCCGGCAUCGAUGAAGAACGCAGCGAAAUGCGAUACGUAAUGUGAAUUGCAAAUUCAGUGAAUCAUCGAGUCUUUGAACGCACAUUGCGCCCCCUGGUAUUCCGGGGGGCAUGCCUGUCCGAGCGUCAUUGCUGCCCUCAAGCCCGGCUUGUGUGUUGGGCCCCGUCCUCCGAUCUCCGGGGGACGGGCCCGAAAGGCAGCGGCGGCACCGCGUCCGGUCCUCGAGCGUAUGGGGCUUUGUCACCCGCUCUGUAGGCCCGGCCGGCGCUUGCCGAUCAACCCAAAUUUUUAUCCAGGUUGACCUCGGAUCAGGUAGGGAUACCCGCUGAACUUAAGCAUAUCAAAGGCCGGAGGAA